rnacentral:rRNA from 1 species
AUUGAACGCUGGCGGCAGGCUUAACACAUGCAAGUCGAGCGGAGCGAGGGUGCUUGCACCUUAGCUUAGCGGCGGACGGGUGAGUAAUGCUUAGGAAUCUGCCUAUUAGUGGGGGACAACAUUCCGAAAGGGAUGCUAAUACCGCAUACGCCCUACGGGGGAAAGCAGGGGAUCUUCGGACCUUGCGCUAAUAGAUGAGCCUAAGUCGGAUUAGCUAGUUGGUGGGGUAAAGGCCUACCAAGGCGACGAUCUGUAGCGGGUCUGAGAGGAUGAUCCGCCACACUGGGACUGAGACACGGCCCAGACUCCUACGGGAGGCAGCAGUGGGGAAUAUUGGACAAUGGGGGGAACCCUGAUCCAGCCAUGCCGCGUGUGUGAAGAAGGCCUUUUGGUUGUAAAGCACUUUAAGCGAGGAGGAGGCGCUCUAGGAUAAUACCCUAGAUGCGUGGACGUAAUUCGC